UGGACAGUUGGGUUAUUUUAGACUCAAUGAAAGCAGGGGAGGAACAUAAGAGAUGUCAAAGGGAAUUAACUCAUCAGAAUAAGAACCCGGUUGUGAAAACUGAGCACAGGGUGAGUUCAAUUGCAUUAACUAUACAUUGUGCCGAGAUCACUCACUAGAGUUGCCUCUCUCCCCUUUUUGUUUUAUCCAGGCAAAGUACAAGAAGAAAGGUUGGUGUGCGUGGGCCCAGAACUGGACACGAGUGCCCAUUCCUACUCAGUCAGUGAUAGUUUGAGACUCAUAAUUCUCAUUACGUACAGCAUGGGCUCUACACAAAACCCUCUGUGGUCAGAUGUUGGUUUCUGGGUGUUGAAGGAAAGGUAAGGCAAUUCCUGCAGACUGGAAGGCUGCAGGGUGAGAGACAUCUCUGGAGACCUGCCUCUGCUGGAUCUACCUGCACAUCAGACAAGAAGUCAAAAUCCUGUACUAUCACUGCUGCAGUAGGACUGGGACAUGACCAGCACCAAUUUCAUCAUGGUUCCCCUGGGAUCUUGUAGCUGAAGAGACCCACUGUGAUUGAUCAGGUGUGGGAGGGACAAUUGCUCUGGCCAAAAAUUGGGCCAGAAUUGCCUCCACUUGACUGAGGUAUGUCUGUACUUUGCCCAUACAGUUUUUCUGCAGGAGUGACCAUGGCAAAUUGCUCCACACUUGUAAUAAGACUCGCUGGCAGAAUAAAUACCAUGCUUGGGUGAAGGAGCAGCAAACUAUAUCGGAGAGGUGGUGCUACCCACUCACUAGCUCUUUGGAGACCAGUCUCUAUGAUACAGCCUUCAUCUCUGGUCUACACAGGAGAAAAGGAUGAUGAAAAUCAGGGGCAAGCAAGCUAAAAUAAUAACUGGUAGUCUGGUCACUCUGCCACCAAGUGAAAGAAGCUAUUUGUAUUCAAUUUACUCAAAGAAAGAAUUGAUUUUUGAAUUAUACAUGCUGAAACCAUGUGAAGGUUUUUAAUGUAUGUGGAUUUUUUAUUUUUAUUUUUCCAUGUAGCAGACAACAGCACGACCUGAUCAUAAGGCUGGAAGCCAAAGCCAGAUAAAUCCAGAAUGGGAGAAAACAAAAGAUUUUAGCAUUGUAAGAUCUCACCAAAGGCUGAGCUUCUUCACCUCCUGAGAUUUCAGAUUGAGGGUUGGGUGUCUUUAUUUCAGCUUUCUUCUUUCAAAUUGUGUUAUGGUCCUGGGGACAUUUUCUAGCCAGUGCGGUCAGAUUAGACUUUUCUAAUGGUCCUCUCUCUGCCUUUAAAACCUCUAACUCCUAAAUACUGCCUUUACCUGGAUCAGGGUUCACCCUAGGGACAGGGGACCUAGCCAUCUUUAUUCAUUCCUCCGCAGCUGUGGGAAUGAUAUGUUUAGAUAUUUUUCCCACUGCCAGUUGUGUCAGUGGUAUGUGUUAUGCAGAUGUGUGUCUACUGGGAGCCCCGCUCAGACAGCGCAUUUCACGUUGAUUUAUGAACAGACUUCUGAGCACAGCAACUUCUGGCCUCUGCUGCCUUGGGCUGGAAUCAGCUUGCACGAUGUUGUUAUUCUUAUUCUUGGACCUGCAGGCACGGCUCGUGAACCAGAUGUUGGAGAAACGUGGUGCUGAGGAGGUCCUUGCCUUGGAGCUCUUCUGAAAGAGCCUGGCAGGAAGCAAGGGGUGGGUGUUGGAUGAGGGAGACAAGGGGAAGAGAUGGGUGGUGAACAGGAUCAGUCGUGGUGGGAAAUCAGUGUGUAUAGCAGCAAGUUGGGUCGGGCAGCCGUGGGCCAAGACUGGGUCUGCCCAGGAAAAGGUUCCUGCAGGAGUAAAGACAUCAGAGGAGAGCCUGCAGAGCAUCUUUGUUGUGUGAGUGGCUGGAAAGGUCACAUCUGGGAGAUACCAGGGGAAAAGUGUCUACGUGACCCUGAGAAUAGAUGGACAAGAGUCAGCUAAGGAUGGACACCCAGGCUGUCACCCAGGUGGUAAUAAGAAAAAGUGAAUGAUAAAGGGAGAAAAGGGAAUGAGAGGAACAGUUCCCCUUCAGCAGUGAUUCAGAGAGUUCCCUAUCUGAAGGGAGCUGCAUUUAAAUCAGGGAGAUUUGUCAGAGAUUAGGUACAGAGGGAGAGGAGAGUGAGAUCAUGUGGAGUGCGGGAUGGGGACAAUGGGGAGCAGGGAAGAGAAAAGCCCAAAGGGUCCAAGAAAGGAAAGAAGGAUAAGAAGGAGGAGUAGGAAAAAGGCUCCAUCCAUAUCAACUAUUUAAUCCUUCUACUUAUUUUUACAUUCAAUAAUUAAAAAAAAUCUCAAUAAUCAAAACAAAACAAAACAAAACAAAACAAAAAAAAAAAAAACAACCUCUUUUCAAUAAUAUGCAUAAAGAACAUAAAGAACCUUUUUGCAAACUCCUUGAGAUAGCAGUGGAUUCCUAGCUGAUCCCCGAAGAGAGACCCUAUUUCUUCAUGGUCAUGAUUAUUGUUCAAAAGAAAUAAAGAAGCAAAAAGAACUACUGGGCAA